UGUAAAGAAAGCCAGGGAUCUCUGCAAUACCAGAAAGCUCCGCUUGCACAAAUUCAUCAGCAACAGCAAGAAGGUGACUGCUACAAUUCCGAAGGAGGAAUGUACUGAAAGUGCAACUGACUUUGACUUGGCCCUAGGAGAACCUAAGGUAGAAAGGCUGCUCGGAAUUCAUUGGUGUGUAGCUUCAGACAAGUUUCAUAUUGAGUGCUAAUAAAAGAAAAACCUUUUACUAGAAGAGGAGUGCUGUCUACAGUUGCUUCCAUUUUUGAUCUCUUGGAUUCGUUGCUCCCUUCAUUCUAGUUGGGAAGUUGGGAAAAGAAUCCUACAAAGGAUUUGUCAAGACAAGACAGGCUGGGACGAACCACUACCUGAUGACCUCAAGCCGCAUUAGGAUGCUUGCCUGAGCUUGCCGAAUCAUAUACUUACAAUGAAGCCUACGAUCAUUGCACCACCUUCUGGAGAGUUUGUAAGGGAGGAUCUCUAUCUUAAGAAGAGACGGAAAAGAGUUCAAUUCCUGGCGAAUGAGUUUUGGGCCAGGUGGAGAAAGGAAUAUCUGUUAAGUUUGCAGAAGAGAUGUAAGUGGAAUAAGAGCAGGAGAAAAGCCAAGAUAAAUGACAUUGUUCUGCUCCAAGAUGACUUCGCACCACAAAAUCAGUCGAAGCUAGCCAAAGUAGUAGAAGUCUUCCCAGGAACUGAUGGAAGGAUGAGAAGACUUAAACUUCUUUGCCAGGGUGCACGCACAAGUACGUCAGUCUACCUAGAAAGACCCAUACACAAACAGUGUGAUGGUGGGAGUGUAUUUGCUGUCACAAAGCUUUCUGUCUUUAAUGUUUAUAUUCCACUAGAUGGCGCUUGUGUACCUUAGCACUCAUUUACUUAAGCUAAUUUUCAUUAAUCUAAUUUUGCGUUUUUUUAUGUUUUGACUAUUUUCUAAUGUUUAUUGUGAUCUCUAUACUGAACUGUUGUUUAUUUGAGCAAGAUUGAAUCUUUCUAAGAGUUUGUUGGUUAUAUUUUAUUUUGUUCCCAUCAUGCCUUUGUAUGUAACUUCCUGUUUGUCAAGUUAAAGAUGUUUCUCUCUGUAUCCUAUGCCAUCCAACCAAGAAAGUGCAAGCUAUAACCUCCUCUCUUAGCUCACAAGCAGGCAAAAGUGAUUACAAUUUGUUGUACAUUUGACACGAGGGAUCCAGCAACAUGAAAAAAUGUAAAGUUAUUUGCAGUGCAGAAGAAGCUGACACGAGUUUCAGGAGUUUCAUAGCAGCAACACAGGUGCACAUUUUGGCCAGCGUAAAACUAGAGAUGCCAUUUCUCAGGGGUACUACUGGCCUGGCAUGUCAGCAGACAUAGAGAAAUGGGUAUCACAGUGUACAGUGUGCCAGACAAAUAAUAAAGAUAUAAAGCUGCAGACAGACCUCAAACCGAUCAAGGUCAAGACUCCAUUCGAACUGAUUGCCAAAUCUGACCAGGAGAAUCAGUAUAUAUGUGUAAUAGUAGAUUAUUGCAGGAGAUGGUCACAGGCAUGUCCCCUUAAACACAGUCUGCUAAAGAAGUUACACAAUCCAUAUUAAAAUGUGUUUAGCAACUUGAAGUGCCGAAACGAAUUUGAUCAGAUCAGGACAGAGAGUUUGUCACCACAAUCAACACUGAGGUCUGCAAAAUGCUUGGCAUAAAAUGAAGUCUUUGUGCCCCAUACCCCAAUGCCUUUGUGCCCCAUACCCCAGUGCCUUUGUGCCCCAUACCCCAAUGCCUUUGUGCCCCAUACCCCAGUGCCUUUGUGCCCCAUACCCCAGUGCCUUUGUGCCCCAUACCCCAGUGCCUUUGUGCCCCAUACCCCAGUGCCUUUGUGCCCCAUACCCCAGUGCCUUUGUGCCCCAUACCACCCUCAGACCAACAGAUAGGUGGAGAGGCUCAAUGGCACUGU